UAAUAAGUGUUUUAUGGCACUUUUUAAAUCCAUAUCCACCUUGUGUGCAAUGUCAGUUGAUCUUCUUUAUGGAGAUCGACCAAACAUCAACCUAAUUUUUUAACUCUUUGUCUGAAAAAUAUUAUGAAUAAAUAAUUCAAAAUA
rnacentral:misc_RNA from 1 species